GGAUUUUCGAGCGUCUCUCUAUUUAUUCCCAGUCCAAAACUUUUAAAUUGGAACAUUUUGUCCAUGAACGGUUAGUUUUUGAUCAUAGUAUCCAACUUUCUGUUUGAUAAUUAUUUUUGACAACUAGGCAGUCCAGUUUUGAUGGGUUUAGAUGCUAUAAAUAUUUAAAUCUAAAUUUUCAAGAGAUGCUCUCCUUAGUUCGCUCUUCGCUCCCUUUAAUGCCCCAUCUUUUCUUAUCGGUUCGUACCUUAGUUUGAAACAAAUUUCCAGAGUUAGGUGAGUUCGGUCGGUCGUUCCAGCCGUUGCAGCAAAAUUGUGUUCACGGAGUCUGAAAACAGCGUAACGAGAAGAAGAGAUCUUACUGGCAUCGUUGGAAUGCCGGAAGGAUCAAUGAAAACCAAUUUUGAAGAUCAUUUGGGCCUAAGAUAAAGGAAAGUACGAUUGGUUCUAGAAUCACUCAGUUUUUUCGAAAAAUAGCGUCGCGUUAACGUUGGAGAAACAACGCCUUCCGACUGCCAGGAUAUCAGGGAACGUAUUAUUACUGACGAUGAGUUUGGAUCUAUGCUUACGACCCGGAAACAGACGAUGAAUCGGCUGAAUAUCAUGGCAAAGCUGAGCUGCAGCCGAAAAAGCCAAGCCAAGGCAGGUCAAAAAUGAAGAUUAUAUUGACUUUGCUUUGAUUAUCGAGGUGCGGUGCACUCCGAAUUCCUUACGAUCGGCCAAACUGUAAACAAGAAAUACUAGUUAAGUGUUAUGCGUCGUUCUUGUGAAGCUAUACGUAAAAGGAUGCCGAAAAUACGGGCUGCUAACUACUACAUACAACAUUGAUUCUUCGUAAGUUUUUCACCAAAUUUGCUGCCAAUGUCGUGUCGCAGCCACCGUAUUCGCCUGAUCUUUUCGCCGUGUGACUUCUGGCUAUAACUUCUAUCCUUGAAGGAACUUUAUGGUCUGAGAUAACUUUGGGAAAUUGUGUCUCCAGCUGCACUCAAUCGGAGCCUCCCAUCUUCCUUUUCAUUUCCUUCUAUUCCUAUAUGACUGAGUACGCGGAUGAUGUUAGCCGAUUUACCUACUAAAAGUCUAGUUAUUGCCUGCUUGCAUAACCUAAGGAAAUGAUACUUAAUAUUUGCGCUACGGAUAGCCUUACUUACUGCUUGCAAUACAUUAGAAUGAUAUUGGACUUGCUGGUUAGAGCAGAAGCCCCCUUGACAUCUGCGAAACCAAGCAAUUUUGAUUUUUGAGCAAACCAAGUUUUUGUGUUGCGCUCACGCUACUUUAUCGAUACCUAUACCAACGCUGCUCAUUAUUAUACCCUAAACAGCGUCUAUUAAGUUUGCCAAGAAGUUUGUCACACUCGAAGGAUACAACAUCAGGUAUAUUUUAAGUACGUACCUACCGACGACAGCCUUACCUCACGGUGCUCAAAAGCACAACAGAACAAAUCAAUGCGUUUAUCAGCGCCCUGAAAAUGCCUGGCGUUUUCUAUACCAAUUGGCAGUAUGAAAUGGAUACACUAACCAACUUAAUAGGGUUCGAGUCUCAUCUAACACCUUUGCCGUACUUUGGGUCCGACACCCGAUUACAAUGUAACUCCACAUUGAACACUGACAAAAUGCCAGUUCUUCCCGCAUUUGGGUUUCAACCACAACCACCACGAUACUGCCCGAGGGGCCAGUCCGCAUGAGCAUGUUGAAGCGAACUCCCCAUAGACACAUCACAUACACAAACCACCCAUACAAAAGCGAAUCGUAUUUCUCAGUUAAACGCCUUCGUCGCUUAAACAAUUCACGAGCCUACGACCGUAACAGUUCGGCAUUUCGGCUAGUGGAGUUCACACCGUUAGCAUCUAAAUAUCUAUCAGUCCAGCUAAUCCUCAUACCAUCAAGAUCCCUAAUGUCCGAGUACAUCUGGCACUCUGCAAUGACAUUAAUCCAGUCUUGAAACCGCCCCUUAUGAAAAAACGCAUUCAAAUAAUUAUUUGAAAAAUGCCGCGUAAGCAAAAAACCUAGAUUUAGCUGAAAUCUAAAGACAGACAGAAUCUGAAGGCUGGGCUACCCUCAAUAAAGCCAACGUCACGGAUUUACUCAUAAGUCGCUCGACCGUUAGGACUAUUGUCUCAACGGCUUUGCCACCUACACCUCACGCUAUCAUCUAGAAGCCUCCUGCUCCUUGGAUAUUCCUCCCUCUCCAUAUCAUCAUCGGAAAUUCAAUCAUUCCCAAGCAAUGGCACAAUCAAGCCCCUUCUUAACCUGAAUGCAGCAGCAGAAGGAAAUGUCGGAGACCCUUUAAAAUAGAUAUAAACAUAAAAAUAUAGAUGAUUAGCAUGACAAGUAAAUUUAGCCAUGACCGUCGAUCUAUCCGCCCAUCCUUAGUGUUUAAGAUAUCGAUUUGAAAUUUUGCACACAUCCUUUUCUCUCCAAAACGCUUCUAAUUUUUC